AGAGUUUGAUCCUGGCUCAGAUUGAACGCUGGCGGCAUGCCUUACACAUGCAAGUCGAACGGCAGCGCGGACUUCGGUCUGGCGGCGAGUGGCGAACGGGUGAGUAAUACAUCGGAACGUGUCCUGUAGUGGGGGAUAGCCCGGCGAAAGCCGGAUUAAUACCGCAUACGCUCUACGGAGGAAAGGGGGGGAUCUUAGGA
rnacentral:rRNA from 1 species